GUGUCACCUACUCUAUCCCAGAUGGGCCAAGGUAACUGAGUCACACUGUGCAGGGAGGGCCUUCCUGUGUGUUUGUUUUGCUUUUCCUGAGGACACAGCCACCCUGCUGUGCAGGCACCUUUCUCCCAGACUCUUCUUCCCGUCUUGGGUGCAGGUUGAUGUUUGAGAAGCAAAGACACCAAGGGUCCCCUUCCUUCCACCCAGGCCUCACGUCCCCUCAGCCCCUCCUGGCCAUGCACUGUUGAUUCUUAAGCUCCGCUGCCCUCUGCAAGUGCCACUCCUCCCGUGUCCCGGCCUCCACCUGCCCCUGCCCUGGCACAAAGCAUCCUCCUCGCCCCCACCAUGUCCACACAGCAGAGGCAGUUGGCCAGGCACUAGGGGAACGUGGUGCUGGGGCCUCCCCGCCCCACUGGUAGGGAGGAGCCAGCCUCUGCUUCCAGACCAUCCCUCACACUCUGCUCCUGCCCAGUGAGCUGUGGUUGCACCCGCAGGCCAGUGAGCUGUCUGCCCACGUGGGUGGGGGACCAUGGGGCUUCCAAGGUCGCCAGCCCUGAGCGGUUUGGGUCUCUGUCACAGAAGAUGCAGCCAGUUGGAACAUUCCUGAAACUUUAUGAGACCGCUGGGCCUUUUUUGUUUAUUUGGGCCAAAACUGAGCAACAGUGACUGCCCCAUUAACACCACCUGGAAACCAGUCCGUCCUUCUCGUCGAGAACCUGAUUUUCUAGUAUGCAUUUUUUGAAUUGAAUAAAUUUACAACACCUUAUAUUUCACUUGCAAUUUUGACUUCUAAAAAAUGUUUUAGUUGUUGGUAACUGGUUUCUCAUUGAAAACGGAUGCCUAUUUGUGAUACUGGUGUUCCCAUUACAAUGUAACACAAAGAUUUAAACGUAGAGUGAGUGGAAGCCCCACACAGGCAGGCCAGGCAGCAUCCAGUGGCAUCGGGCGCGCAUGGCGCCUUUUUCGUGGCUGCAGCGUCAACCUGCACUGCCGGGUGUGAGACAGACACGCACCUAACAGCGUGAGAAGCCAGAUGUGGGAGGCACCGAGUGAGGCAGGAGCUUGGCUGCAUGUGGGGCAGAAGCUCCAUGGCUAGAAUUGGAUGUGUUUGGGUCACAGGGGUCUGGGGGAGGGUGUGUUCUGGCUAUAACUGGAUGUGUUUGGGCCACAGAGGUCUAGGAGGUGCAUUCUGCAUCCAGCAGCUCUCACAUGGCAGUCGUGGUCCCCGUUGCUGGUCUGGCCUGUUGUGGAGUAGCGGGGGCAUCCAUGGGUGGACACAGAGGCUGAAAUUCAACCCCAAUCAGAGCUCUAUUCCAGGGAAAAGGGGAGAAAUUGAGUCAGGCUUUGUUGUUCUGCAAAACAGUGACAACGCCCAGCCAGCAUUGCGGGUUACAGCACACUCAGUGGCUUCAUUUUACUCUCACGGUAACCGCUGGGGGUGGAUUCUACGAUUAUCCUCAUUUUUACAGAAAAGGAAGCAGAGACGGUUCACAGCUGAGUCACCUGUCCAGGGUGACGCCUUUGCGGGGCCCGCCAGAGCCUGCCAGUGUCGCAGAGGUCGUGAGCCCCUCCUGCCCAACACACAGCCCCUUGGCAGGGGCUCUUUAGCAAACCUGCAGGUGGGCAGCUUGGGGCGUUUCUCAGCUAGCAUCACCCCUGCUUCAGGACUUGAAAGCACUUGACUGGGUUCGCUGGUCUGAGGAUUAUGUGCUCAGUGGAAAUUAAUCAUUCUGGGCUCUUCUCUCCUUCACUGUAGGAAGAGUGGGACCCAGAGAGCUCCGGGAUCGGCUCCCUGGCUUGGAGUCCAAAGGCAGCUCUGACCACACCGCCUGGGGAAAGAGGGAGGGGAGCUGGGUUCCGUCUCUGCGGCCUGGCACAUCCAAGGUCCCUUUGUGGAAGAGGCACAUGUAGCACCCGUUGCUGGAGGAUAACCUGUAACUUUGUGCCUCUCCCAAGGGAGCACGCAGGUCCACACGGGAAGUAAGAUUCCCUGUACCCAGUGUCUCACAGUUCAGAAAAAGUCGUCAAAGUGCUCAGACUCAAGAAAUAAAUAAGGAAGUAUGAAAACAACUUUCUUUCUUUCUUUUUUUGAGACAGUCUCACUGUGUUGCCCAGGCUGGAGUGCAGUGGCCGCAGCUCACUGCAACCUCAAACUCCUGGGCCAAGCAAUCUUCCCACCUCAGACUCCCAAGUAGCUGGGACCACAGGCAUGCGCCGCCACACUCAGCUAAUCUUUGUAUUUUUCGUAGAGACAGGGUCUCAUCAUGUUCCCCAGGCUGAUCUCGAACUCCUGGGCUCCAGUAAUCUACCCACCUUAGCCUCCCAAAGUGCCGGGAUUGCAAGCAUGAACCACCAUGCCCAGCUGAAAAUAUAACUUUAAAAAAAAUCUUAGCUCCGUAAGAACUAAGCCAGAUCAGAAAACGAAUUCUGUCUGUGACCCCCACAGCUAUGAAAUGGAGUCGCUGACUCCCCGUGCUCAUGCACAUGCUUAGUGCCCACUGCAGAAGGCUGCUUUGAAUGAAAGCUAGUGUUUAUUCGUGCACUCACCCAGAAGGUUUCUGCUGUUAUUGAAUCAAAUUAUCCCACAUGUGAGGUGUUUUUCACGGCCAGAUGCAGACAGGGACACAGAUGCAGCAGCACCCACCACACAUGAAUGUUCGGGGGUCACUGCCUCGUCUUCAUGUCUUGGGAGUUGCUGUUUCUGUCUUUAAAUCCGAGUGUCAGAAGGACCUGAGACACCCGACAUAAAUCCCUGGCUUGUUAAUGAUGCUCACAGCGAGCGGCCACGCCCACAGACUGCAUAAUUUAUCUCCAUCCUGCAGAAUUCUGAUUUUCAUGUAAACCUAGGACAUGUUCAGAGACUUGGAAAUUAGCAAUUCUAGCCCCUGCCUUAGGCGUGCCCGUGUGGUUGUUUCUGCUUUGGAUUGGCUGGUGGUAGCAGCUGCUGGCAUCACGCAAUUGGCUUGGCUGCAGAGUGAGCCCGCGGAAGAGGGCUCUCCGCACCUACUCUGUGACUCAGGCUUCUGCUACCAGGCUCAUCCGAGGACGGAGGCUGUCAUUAUACAACGCGCAAGUGUGGUCUCUGUCACAGAUGUGGCUGUCGCAGAGAGUGCUGCCUCCUCUCCCGUUUCCAGCAGAUGCUUGGGAACCUUCAGAAGUCUUGGGGAUUUUCUCCCAGCACCGUAGCAAUGCCACCACGAGUGAACCUUUAACGUGGACCAGCACGGGCACCUCAGAUGCCAGGACCAGCGUGAUGUAUGCGCCAUAAGACUGUUUUGGAGGGUUUAGUCAGCUGGUCACCCAGGAAAGGAAAAUGACUCGGCUCUUACUGUGGAAUAGCAAAUAACUGAGCUCGGGAGAGAUGGUUCUGCCUGAAUCUGUGACUUGAAGUGGUUGGUGUUAGGCUGAGAAAUAAGAAUGCACCGAAAGUGCCUGCCCUUCCAUAGAUGAGAGCAGGUUCUGGGACUGCGGGGAUGGGGCUGCCGGGGCCCCUGUGUGCCAUGCCUCUCACCUGGUAUUGCAGAAAUGGCAUCAUGAAUACGGGGGAUCGCUCUCCCAGGAGGUUUUCUGAGGGGUUUCGUGGGCAGCCGGCUUCCUACCUGCACACGUUAACAGCGGCGUCUCUUCCUCACUGCAGUCUGCAGGACGCUGGCAUCGGAUUCAUCCUGGUGAUAGACCGGCGGCGGGACAAAUGGACCUCCGUGAAGGCAUCUGUCCUGCGCAUCGCAGUAAGUGCCACUCGGGGCUCUGCCCUGCGCCCGGCCCCUCCCUGGGCUGCGUGACCGCCGCAUGGUGCUUUUCCUCUGUGUCUGCCGCAGUUCCUGCUUUGUGCUGAGUGGGACGGAGCCCAGUCCUGGCGGGUGGAGGCGGGCGCCAAGGCCCCCCCGGCAUGGGCUCCCGAGGCACUGGUGCCUGGGUGUGAGUUUUCCCAGAUGAGGGAACUCUUAGGGAGCCCAGUGUGACUUGAAAACCAUUUCCCCAGACAGGGCAGCCCAUGUGUUUCUGAACACCGAGUCUGAGAUGCUCGGGACUGAAUAUGCCUCUUACAUAUUUAUACAUUAGUGAUUUUCUCCUUUCCAAAUCGGGCCAUCUAUCUUUAGCUGCAACACUGAACGAGCCACCACCGCCUCCCGUCCCCAGUGGGAUUGAACAUGCACCUUCCUCUUACACAAAGCACAACAGUCCCGACCAGGCAGGACGGGGGCUGUGUGCAGAGACGCUCCAGGCUGGAAGUUUGAAGUGAUACUGCACAGCUUUUCUACGUGAUUUUCUCCUUUCCAAAUCGGGCCAUCUAUCUUUAGCUGCAACACUGAACAAGCCACCACCACCUCCCUUCCCCAGUAACCCAGCCUCGCAUGUAGCCACCCUCCUUUCCAAGGACUUUCCCUUGGCGUCCGAGAGUCUGUUUGCAGAUUCUGCACGCUGCCUUCCGUAGCAGAAGAGGAGCUGGGUUUGUUGUUGGUUUUAACCCAGAGUAAUCAUUUAAGAGGGAAGAGAUUAAGUCAGCAGAAGCCCCCAAAUCUUAUUUUUGUCGGUAGCUCCCACCCGUAUGCAUGACCCCGGCAUGGAGGAUUUUUCACCCACGCUCGCUCUCUCCACCUGUCAGUCCAAGUUUCAUUGCAGCCAAAGGACCAAAAAAGUCUGCCUGUCUGCCAGGAAGUGACCCAGAGCCUGGGUCCAGGCACCUGCAUGUUCGCACGCCCACCACAGCCUGUCCCUCCCAGGCUCUGGGACCCUGGGUCCUCAGCUGUGAUGGCACAACUGCUCCAAGCAUUCCGCAGCACCAAACCCCAGUGAAGUCAGAUUCUCCCAGUGAAGUCAGAUUCUCCUGGCCUCUCCUGGGUCCUGCGUUCAGACUAUCUUUGGGUUUCCCAGCCUCUCGAUGGCUGCUGGCUGCUGCUCCAAGGUUCUGGGUAUAGUGAAAGAAGUCAUUCCUUUCCCCGCACAUUGCCUCAUUCCUUCAUCUUUUACAAGAAUUGGAGGCCCCAUAUCUGCUCCGAUGCCCACAACCUUCAUCGUUUUGGUGCAAGCCUGUCCCUGAGCCGCUGGUUCUCACCUAAGUCUUUAGGAUGAGGCAUCUCCUUGCACCCCCACGGCACCUCUCUGCCUCUCGCCGCGGCUGAUCCCCAUUCCUGACCCUGCCUUAACCUGGCACACACCGCCUAUGGCAUCGUUAUCUGAAAUAAUUCAAAACGCUUCAGGAUGCUUCCAAAAAAGUAGACGUGUAUAGAAUCGGUCUUCCUUUGUUAUAACAGUGCAUUCGUUUGCUUUUGCGUCACUAUAAAGACAUACUUGAGCUGCGUAAUUGAUAAAGAAAGAGGCGUAAUUGGCUCACAGUUCUGCAGGCUGCACAGGCUGAGCACCUGCAUCUUCUCAGCUUCUGGGGAGGCCUCAGGGAGCUGGCAGUUGUGGUGGAAGGCAGCAGGGAGCCGGCAUCACAUGGUGAGAGAGGGAGCGAGAGAGAAGGGGGAGGUCCCAGACUUUUGAACAGCCAGAUCUCGAGUGAACUUACUGAGCGAGAACUCACCCGUCACCAAGGGGAUGGCGCUGAGCCAUUCAUGAGGGGCCACGCCCAUGACUUAAUCACCUCCCGCCAGGCCCCACCUCAGCACUGGGAAUCGCAUUUCAAUAUGAGACUUGGAGGGGACAAAAAUCCCAUCCAUAUCAAGCAUCCCCAGAAAUGUAGAAAGUUCUUUAGAUAAAAGCCAUCACCAGCUAA
rnacentral:sRNA from 1 species